ACACAUGCAGUCGAGGGGUAUUUAUCUUCGGAUAGAGAGACCGGCGCACGGGUGCGUAACGCGUAUGCAAUCUACCUUUUACAGAGGGAUAGCCCAGAGAAAUUUGGAUUAAUACCUCAUAGUAUUACGACCUGGCAUCAGGAUGUAAUUAAAGUCACAACGGUAAAAGAUGAGCAUGCGUCCCAUUAGCUAGUUGGUAAGGUAACGGCUUACCAAGGCUACGAUGGGUAGGGGUCCUGAGAGGGAGAUCCCCCACACUGGUACUGAGACACGGACCAGACUCCUACGGGAGGCAGCAGUGAGGAAUAUUGGACAAUGGGCGCAAGCCUGAUCCAGCCAUGCCGCGUGCAGGAUGACGGUCCUAUGGAUUGUAAACUGCUUUUAUACAGGAAGAAACACCUCUACGUGUAGAGACUUGACGGUACUGUAAGAAUAAGGAUCGGCUAACUCCGUGCCAGCAGCCGCGGUAAUACGGAGGAUCCAAGCGUUAUCCGGAAUCAUUGGGUUUAAAGGGUCCGUAGGCGGUUUAGUAAGUCAGUGGUGAAAGCCCAUCGCUCAACGGUGGAACGGCCAUUGGUACUGCUAGACUUGAAUUAUUAGGAAGUAACUAGAAUAUGUAGUGUAGCGGUGAAAUGCUUAGAGAUUACAUGGAAUACCAAUUGCGAAAGGCAGGUUACUACUAAUUGAUUGACGCUGAUGGACGAA
rnacentral:rRNA from 1 species